rnacentral:lncRNA from 1 species
GAUGUCUUUUAAAGACCACCACUCCAGCGAACCAUGAAAAGGGCUUGCUAAUGGACAUGGUGAGGUCUUGCAUCCAUUAAAUUCAUUGCAAAGGAGAAGCUAAGUGCUUUCCAGAUAUUAUUCGAUUUCUGGGUUUGUCUCCCUCAACCCCGUGUCAACAAUGACCAGAGGCUGGAUGAACAGAAGAAUUAAUUUCUGACAGUCAGUCCCACUUUCUCCUGUAAUGUAAUAUUUUACUGUAUUGGGGUUUUUGGCCCCUCAGGGGAAUAGUUUCAAUAAGAAAACAUUGACAUUUCAGAAAAGAGUUAUUCUUUCUUUUUAUUUGAC